rnacentral:rRNA from 1 species
UACGAAGGGGGCUAGCGUUGCUCGGAAUCACUGGGCGUAAAGCGCACGUAGGCGGAUCUUAAGUCAGGGGUGAAAGUCCUGGAAGCUCAACUCCAGAACUGCCUUUGAUACUGACGGUAGCUUGAGUCCGGGAGAGGCGAGUGGAACUGGCGAGUGUAGAGGUGAAAUUCGUAGAGUAUUACGCAAAGAACACCAGUGGCUGAAGGCGGACUCACCUGGCCCGGGUACU